rnacentral:rRNA from 1 species
GACGGAGGGUGCAAACGUUGUUCGGAAUCACUGGGCAUAAAGCGCACGUAGGCGGUGCACUAAGUCAGGUGUGAAAGCCCCCGGCUCAACCGGGGAAUGGCAUCUGAUACUGGUGUGCUCGAGGACGGUUGGGGUGAGUGGAACUCCUGGUGGAGCGGUGAAAUGCGUAGAUAUCAGGAGGAACACCGGUGGCGAAAGCGGCUCACUGGGCCGUCUCUGACGCUGAGGUGCGAAAGCUAGGGUAGCGAACGGGAUUAGAUACCCCGGUAGUCCUAGCCGUAAACGAUGGGCACUAGGCAGGGGGAAUUCCUAUGGUUUUCUCUGCCGGAGCAAAUGUGUUAAGUGCCCCGCCUGGGGAGUACGCUCGCAAGGGUAAA